rnacentral:rRNA from 1 species
GGAAACUGAGGAUAAUACUGGAUAGGCAAUUUUUCCUGUAAUGGUUUUUUGUUUAAAUGUUUUUUCGCCUAAGGAUGGGUCUGCGGCCGAUUAGGUAGUUGGUUAGGUAAUGGCUUACCAAGCCGUUGAUCGGUACGGGUUGUGAGAGCAAGAGCCCGGAGAUGGAACCUGAGACAAGGUUCCAGGCCCUACGGGGUGCAGCAGGCGCGAAACCUCCGCAAUGUGAGAAAUCGCGACGGGGGGAUCCCAAGUGCCAUUCUUAACGGGAUGGCUUUUCUUUAGUGUAAAGAGCUUUUGGAAUAAGGGCUGGGCAAGACCGGUGCCAGCCGCCGCGGUAACACCGGCAGCUCUAGUGGUAGCAGUUUUUAUUGGGCCUAAAGCGUCCGUAGCCGGUUUAAUAAGUCUCUGGUGAAAUCCUGUAGCUUAACUGUGGGAAUUGCUGGAGAUACUAUUAGACUUGAGACCGGGAGAGGUUAGAGGUACUCCCAGGGUAGAGGUGAAAUUCUGUAAUCCUGGGAGGACCGCCUGUUGCGAAGGCGUCUAACUGGAACGGUUCUGACGGUGAGGGACGAAAGUUAGGGGCGCGAACCGGAUUAGAUACCCGGGUAGUCCUAACUGUAAACGAUGCGGACUUGGUGUUGGGGUGGCUUUGAGCUGCUCCAGUGCCGAAGGGAAGCUGUUAAGUCCGCCGCCUGGGAAGUACGGUCGCAAGACUGAAACUUAA